GACAGAGGUGCCGAGCGUUAGGCGGAAUCACUGGGCUUAAAGCGUGUGUAGGCGGACUUCUAAGUACCUUGUGAAAUCCCACGGCUCAACCGUGGAACUGCUCGACAUACUGGCGAUCUUGAGCAACCUAGGGGCGAGCGGAACAAAUGGUGGAGCGGUGAAAUGCGUAGAUAUCAUUUGGAACGCCAAUGGUGAAAACAGCUCGCUGGGGGUUUGCUGACGCUGAGACACGAAAGCCAGGGGAGCGAACGGG
rnacentral:rRNA from 1 species